CAGGACCCCGGGAUCAUGACCUGAGCCGAAGGCAGACGCUUAACCGACUGAGCCCCCCGGGCACCCCUAAACCUCUGUUUUAAGGUAGUGUUUUUGAACCUGCCAACCGUAAGAAUCACCUGAGGGCCUGCUGAAGCUGUAGUUGCCAGUCCACUAAUCCUCCUCAGACCUCACCGAACCAGCAUGUCCAGAGGUUCUGGAAGCAAGUAGGCCUAUGUGGAAAUAAUGAUAAUAAAGACAAAAUAUACAAGUAUACAAAUACAAGACAAAGUGCCACCAUGCUGACCAAGGAGGCAUUAUGGGAUCCCAGAAGAAAGAUUCCCUGAAGAAAGAGAAAAAUGGGCUUUAAGGAAGAGAGAUCAAUCGAGUCAUUCACACCAGAUCUUGUUAAAUAGGGAUCUCUGAGAAGCUGCUUCACAAGCAAGCCUCGUGGGAGAGAUUCUGGAGCUGGGUCCUCCCCCAGGGAUCUAGGUGGGCCUGUCACGUUAAUGAGAAUCUCAUGUGCCAGUGGAGAAUCGGCAAGUGCAGGUGUCCAAGAAAACUCCUCUCUUUGGCAUUAACAAUCCUGCGAGGAGCUGAUGGGAUUAUUGAGAUUAAAGUCGGUCAUCCGCCUAAGGUUAUAACGAAUGCUGCCCCCGAGACAAGAAAGGAGACAAAGAACAGGCUGUCUAGGUACAGCUGGCGGUCGGAAAAUGCGGGUAAACACUCAGUCUCGGAAGGGAUGCCAGUCGUUCCUGAGAGCGGAUGAAAUGAACUUCACGAUUUACUCUUUGGUCAACGGUGUUUUCCCUGCUGCAAGCUGACCACUCGGCCAGGAAGUGUAUACUGAUUUUUUUUUUGAAGAUCAUUUAGAAGGUGGGUAGGAAAAGCCUUGAAAAAGUGCAUUAAUUUUUUUUUUAAACUCUUUAAGAGAAUUGUUUGCAAUUACAAUUCACAACUGAUGUUCUGCAGUUUUGGACUGACCAGCUCUGUGUUGGAGGUGGGAAAGGAAAACAAGGAAAGGGGAAAUGUUAUGUAAUGAUUAGGGAUUUCCAGGGUCCUCUUGGAAGAAAGGGACAAAGCACAGCAUCAUUCUAUGCUCUGAAGAUAUGCUGCUUUGCUAUCCAAAUGUGGUGUGAAAAAAAAAAUCUAUCUAUAUUAAUUUCAUGCAUUUCAGCCUGGGUCACACAAUGGGAAAAAUGCAUCUGUGCGACUAUUUUCAAACCACAGGAGAAUGAGCACAGAUGUUACACUAAGCAUAUCGUGUUAUUCGUCCCCCAGCAUCGCCUAAAGUCCUUAACACAAUGGAAGCUGUGACUUGCAUUUAUCCACUGGAACCAUUCUUAACACGUGGUUGGGUACACCUAUUUCAGCCACAUCCUCGGAGGUGACAAGAGGUGAUAUGCUUUCUUGGUAAACAUGGGCACACUGUUUUGUGUGUGUGUGGUGUGUGGGAGAGGUGCCACUUGACAGAAAACAGGGAGCUGAGGCACAUAUUUGGAAAUGCAAAGAAAGCAUUCCCUUCAUAUUAACCUUGCAGGUUUUCAGGACAGUAAGAAUCCUAUCCCAUUGUUACUAUACUUUUGUUUAUUUUUUUUAGUAUUUUAUUUUAUGUAUUUAUUUGAGAGAGAGAGAGAGACAGAUCAAGAUUUUGAGCAGGGGGGAAGCAUAGAGAGAGAAGCAGACCCCACUGAGCAGGGAGCCCGAUGUAGGACUCGAUCCCAGAACCCUGGGAUCAUGACCCGAGCCAAAGGCAGAUGUCCAAUUGACUGAGCCAUCCAGACAUCCUGUUACUAUACUUCUAGAUGCAAGUUAAGGAUAAGAACACAUCACUUUGCAUGGUUUAAUAAAACUGCCAGUAUUUAAAAAGAAAUGGAAUGAGCUGGUUUGUAAUCUGUUCGAAUUACUUUCGACAAAAGAUUUUAAUUCAGAUGAAUUGUAUAUGACACAGAAGGAUAUUAUAAACCUGUACACUUCAAAGAAAGAUAAGUAGAUAAACAUGCUCAUGUAAAUUCUUCUUGAAAGCAGCCAUGUUCUUAGACUAAGGGGGCUGGAUUAUUGUAUUAUAGAAGUUGAUAAUCACAGUUGAAUUUUAGGAGAUAUAGAAACCUCAAAUUACCUAUUCCUGCCUCCUUCUCCUUUUUGUCUAACUGCCCAGAGAACACAGGAAUGUGUAGAUGGAGAUGAUAUAAGAUGCCUUCCAUAUUUGUCACAAUAAAUGAGAUUCAUAUAUUUCCUCGUGGUUGUUGGAGAGUAAGUAUCAUGUUAAGUGCACAAAUGUAUUGACUGGUUUUUCUUUACAUGGAAAUCGAAUUGUUAAAUAAAUGAAUUCCUGCCA